GAUGAACGCUGGCGGCGUGCCUAAUACAUGCAAGUCGAGCGAACAGACGAGGAGCUUGCUCCUUUGACGUUAGCGGCGGACGGGUGAGUAACACGUAGGUAACCUACCUAUAAGACUGGGAUAACUUCGGGAAACCGGAGCUAAUACCGGAUAAUAUUUCGAACCGCAUGGUUCGAUAGUGAAAGAUGGCUUUGCUAUCACUUAUAGAUGGACCUGCGCCGUAUUAGCUAGUUGGUAAGGUAACGGCUUACCAAGGCAACGAUACGUAGCCGACCUGAGAGGGUGAUCGGCCACACUGGAACUGAGACACGGUCCAGACUCCGACGGGAGGCAGCAGUAGGGAAUCUACCGCAAUGGGCGAAAGCCUGACGGAGCAACGCCGCGUGAGUGAUGAAGGUCUUCGGAUCGUAAAACUCUGUUAUUAGGGAAGAACAAACGUGUAAGUAACUGUGCACGUCCUGACGGUACCUAAGCAGAAAGCCACGGCUAACUACGU
rnacentral:rRNA from 1 species